GCCGGAUUAGCUCAGCUGGUAGAGCGGCUGAUUUGUAAUCAGCAGGUCGGGGGUUCGAGCCCCUCAUCCGGCACCA
rnacentral:tRNA from 1 species